UUAUUGUUCACAUUAUCACCUUCAAGACUCUUGCGUGAUUUUUUUAAACAUUCUUUUCUUUGAAAAAGGUAAAGAAAACAAAAAAUUAGUAAUUAAAAAGAAAAAAAAAUAUUUAUUAAUUAUUUCUGUCGUGAUUAAUAAGAUUAAAGAUUAAAAAAUUGUGUGUUCCAAUAGUUUCUAAAAAAAAAAAGAUUCCUUGCAGAAAUUUAAGCAAAAAAAAAGAUAAUCCCCGUUCUUUCUCUUCACUCCAAUCCCACUUUUGAGUGAAGAAGGUUACAAAGGAAAAAUAUUUAGGACAAAAAAAAAAGAAUAGAAAAGCAAAAAUUUUGAAAAAAAUAUAGUAAAUUCCUCCGCCCCCUCCAUGCUUUUUUGUAUAGUGAUUGUAGAUGGAUAGAGAAACUUUUGAGAAAUCACAAGUGAAAUUUGUAAAAGUUUUCAGAAGAAAAAAAAAACAAAAGAAUAGAUUACAGAAACAAAUUGAAAAAACAAAAAAAUCAAUAUAGGAAAUAGUUUGAGAAAAAAAGUGUUGAGAAUUUUUGCUACAUUUAAGGAGUUUUUUGUAUACCAAAUAAGUGUAAGAGGAAGUUUAUUAAAAAUUGUAAUUGUAGGUGAACUUCUGGUUGAAACAAACAGAAUUAAAAAAAAAAUUGAAAUUAAAUAAAAUUGAGGAAUUAUUAAAAAAGAAAUAUAAGGAAUAUCAAGAACAAUUUGGAAGUAAAUUCUACUGAAAUAUUCAAAUGAAAUUAUUUUAUUGAAAAGGAAAAUGAUUUUCAUUUUUCUUUUUCGGUGUAAAAAUGAAAGUGAAUAAAAUUAUAAAGAACAAAGAAUAAACAAAUGAAAAUUGAACACAAUUUAAAGUUGCUAAAAUGUGAUUUUUUUGCUCGUGUAGAAAAAAAAAUGGUGAAAAUAAAGGUGAGGAAAAUUUUGUGUGAAAGUGAGAAAUUUUCAAAAAUUUCUCCUAUUUGUUUUUUUAAUUAUUUUUUUUUUAAUAAAAAGAAAAUAAUGAAAGUUUUCAGAGUGGACGAAAGUGAAGGAAAAUAUGGGAGAAAUUCGACUUUGCAAGAAAAUAUCAAUUUCUUUUUUUGAAUCCCACCAAUAAAAUAGUAAUGAUUAGUAAUUUUUUUUUUUAGUUUUCAUCGCAAGAUUAAUUUUUCUUUUCAAGAAUUAGUUGAUUGUUUUUCUUUCUCUUUUUUUGCUAUUGAUUCCUGUUUUUUUUUAAACAUAUAAUUUUUUCUUCUUCCUAGUUAUUGUAAUUUUGAAAAAAUAUAAAUAUGCUUAAUAGAUAGAUGUGAGAGAAUUUUGAAAAAAAAGAAAAGAAAAAAACAACUGAAAACUCUUUUAAUUUUCUCUUCUUUGUAAUAAUUUAAUGAAUAUUUAGAGAAUUUCUUCCAAUUUAUCAUCUCUGCGAUGCGGAAAUUCACAAAAAAAAAAACAAUCUAAAUGUUAAUUAAAUUUUGCAUAGGAAAGAUUAUAAUGAUCUCUACAGGCGUUAAAGUAAAGCUAAAGUAAAAAUAAAAUAAUAUAUUAAAUGUAAAAUGUAUAAUUUCCUUUCCAAAAUAACGUGAAAGAAGUAAAAGGAAAAUGAAUAAGAAUGAAAAUGUUCUAAUCUAAAUGGAUGAAAUGACAUUUUCAACAUCAAUCGAGAGUACAUUUUUGACACUCUGAUUAAUAGUUGCGGGGAAUUUUCUAACUAUAAAAGAGGUUAAAAGCUUCAAAUUGAGGUUAGAUUGGGAAUAACAUAACCUAGAUGAAUUUAUUUUGAGUGAUCAAAACUCUUAAAUUCUCUUCCAGAAGAAGUUUUAGUGCAAAUUGUCGGAAGUUUAAUCAGCUUUCCAUAUUUUGUAUUAAAUUUAGAAACGUUUUACUAGCAAAAAAUUUAAAAUUUGAGGUUAUGAGAACUCUACUUUCAGCCUCAAAGACAACGGGAAAGAAUAAAACAAGUUUCUACUUGAAUUCUUUCUGAUGAUCAACUAUCUUUCAUUAAGAAGAAAAUGCUUAAUUUUCUUCUAUAAGAAAAUUGCUCUUCUUAAGAAAUUGAUAAUCGUACAUAACCUCUUUUAGGACUCAUUCCUUUUUCAUCAAAUUGAUUAAAAUGUUGGUAAAGUUCUAAUAAAGUUCUUUCUAGAACAAGAAAAGAAUAGAACACAUAUUUACUUCAGCCGAAGUUCAAUUAGAUUUUUCAAGGUUAGGAUAAACAUAACCUCAAAAUACUGACUGAGCAGUAGACUCUCUCAAAUGGGCAUUUUGACGAAAUGUCAUCCGGUUUAUCGAUAGAUUUGGGCGUCAAAGCCUUUGUAAAUUCCACAAAAAGCGCUCAAUUAUAAAGAAUCACGAUAAAAUAGGAAGAACUACAGUAAAUUUGAACAAAUUAGCUUCAUAAUUAAACGUGAAAAUUGUCAACAAAAUAUUUCGCCCGAUUGAAAAAAGAGCCGAUUGAGUGAGAGUCUACUGUAACGACCCUUGAAACUUUAAUAGCGGACCUGGAUUCUACAUUACGUCCUAAAAAAAACACACAAUAACUGAACAACUUGACGAUUAAUGUAAUUUUGAGGUUAGAAUUUGAGUUUUGCGAAUAACAUGAAACACUUCGAGGGCAAUAUCAUCAGAUCACAGUGUAAAUGUAAAUCGUUCAACAGCUCAGUAUUUUUUGAUUCCGAAAUAACCUCAAAAAAAUAGGAGCAAUAGUAGCUUCUCUCUGAAUUUGAGGUUAGAGUUUAUCACUUUUCUAUUAAAAAAAAUACUUUGAAAGGAAGACUAUCAUAAUAAAAUACAGUUCGCCUGAUUCCUUAUAAGUGUUCUAGGUUUUUCAAGUCCAAGAAAAGUUCUUGAGAAAUAAGAGAACGAGCUUUUGGUGAAAUUUGAGGUUAGAAUUUGGAACAUUUUAAAUUUAAAUACCAAAAGAUACUUUAAUAGCCAAUGUAGCAAAUCGUCAGGAAAGGAUCUCUAGUAACACUAUUUCUUGAAAAAGCUUUUAGGUUUUUCAAUUUCACAAGAAGUCUUGAAAAAUUGGAGAAUUUGACUUUUUUGUUGAAAUGUUAGGUUAGAAUUUCAAGCAUUUUAAAUAACAAAAAAAUUCCUAACAAAACAAACAAUAGUCAGGAAAUAUUGCAGACAGAUUUACGUCUCAAAACUGUUUCAAAUUAUCUAUUACUAAAUUAACCCUUUAAGGACGAGAAGGUCAAAAAUCGAGGGUCAGUAAGUAAUUUUUUCUAACUUUAGAGCAAAAUACAGCUUUAGAAGGCUGUAGGAAAAAAUCAUUUUUGGGUCACGGAUGACCCAAUCGUCCUUAAAGGAUUAAACUAUUGAAAAAUAAGGUAGAUACUUUUAUUUGAAUUUGAGGUUAGAAUUUGAGAUAAUUUGAAUAACCAGAGAUGCUUUAAAAGGAAAGGAUAUCGUCAGGAAGCUCUCAAUUCUCUAUAUUUCUUCAAACUCAAACACUUAUAGAUUUUUCUAUUUCAAAAUGAAAUCUGGAAAAGGUUGAGAAAUUAACGCUUUGGUUGAAGAGCUAGGUUAGAAUUUAGAACAUUUUAAGGAACAAGAAUUUCUUAGAAAGCAAAUUCAUCAGGAAAUAUUACAAAUAGCUCUAUUUUGUUUAAAAGUAUUUUAAACUCUUCAUUACCAAGUUUGACUUUUGAAAAAUUAGUCAAUCAGUCGGUUUUAAAUGAAUUUGAGGUUAGAAAUUUCACUAACUUUCAGUAACGUGAAAUAUUUUGAAAGCAAAAUCGUAAGGAAGUGUUUCAAAUAAUUCUAUUUCACAAAACCGUUUUAAAUUCUUGAAUUCUAAAAUAAACUUCUGAAAAGCUAGUGAAACAGAAGGUUCUGAAGAAAUUUAAGGUUAUGAUAUCUUUAUGAUUAACAUAAUAAGAAAUAUUUUGAAAGUAAAGACGUUAAGAAGGACCGCGAAUCUUCGCAAUUUCGGAGAUCUCUUAAAGUUCCAACAGGUAUUUAAGAGGUUAUAUCAAGAGAAUUCAGUCAAAUGUCUUGAUUUUUUUUAAGGUUAGGCUUUACUUAACCUAAAACUUUUCAAACUAAUCUUUUGGUCAAGAAUGGAAAUGAGGUCCUAACGUAGAAAAGAUGUUAUACAGUUUCCCAAUUCCUUGAAGUUAUGUAAUAUUUAACGUCACAUUUAAAUAUAACCUGUAGGGGAAUUCUGUAACUUUCGUGGAAUUCGAAAAUGUAAUUCAUUGAAUUUUUAAUGAAAUCCCUUUAAUUUAUGAUUUUAUGAAAAUACAGUACGUCUUGGUUGAUUUGUUUAACAAAAUUCAUUGUCAUUUGAAUUGCCAGAAAUAUCAAAUAUGUGACUUCUGAUAAUGCUACGUGAGCUGGAGUAGCAAUGUCACGGCUACAGAAUCGCAUUUUCGAAAAAGCUCUCCUUUGCAAAUUAAAAAGUUGCAAAAUAAAUCUACCUUUUCAAAGUUGAUCUGAACGAGAAAAUUUACAAUAAUGAAUACGCAAAAUUCGUCCUUUUAGGUUAUGUCAUUCCCAACAUAACCUCACUUCGUAUCUUAACCUCAAUUUUAGAAACUUCCACAACAGUUGAAGAAACAAUUUUUUGACAAUAUAAAUAACAGAAAAAAAGUAAAAUUAAAAAGAAAAAUAGUCAAAAAGUAGAAUUUCAUUGACAUUCAGAGAGACAACAAAAGAAUUUCGUAAGAAUGUCUAAAAUAAAUUUUAAAAAGAAAAUGAAGAAAAAAACAGACAUAAAAGCCACUUAAAAACCAACACAAAAAACUACUAAAAAUAACAAAACAAUUAAUAAAUUAGUGAAAAUCUUUUAAGAAGAUGUAAUUGAAAUAAAAUGAGAAUAAAAUAAGUAAUUAUGCCAUACAUGUUCUGUGAUAUGUGAAAACAACCAAUAAUCUAUUUCGCGCUCGCAUACGCAUUAUUUUUUUUUUGUUCAUUUAAUUUUUUCCCCUUUUUUUCUUAAUUUUAUUUCGAAACUUUUUCUUCGGGAAAAGGACUUAGAAAGCAAAUAAAAAAAUAAAGGUCAUCAACUUUCAAAAUAGGAUUUUUUCCGUAGAAAAAAAAGCAAAAUAAAAAUAGAAUAAAAUUUUCUUAUUUUUUUCUCUUUCAGUAGAGUUCAAAAGCAAACAAUUUAUUUUGAAAAGAAAUAAUUUUGAAUUAGUAUUUUUUACGUUUUCACACACAUUCAUAGGUGAGAUAAAAGUACGGGAAAUAUGAAGAAAAACAAUUAGAAAAGAAAACAGAAUUGGCAAAUUCACUUUUUGAACAGUUGACCAAAAAAAAAUUAUUAUUAAAAAAGAUCAGACAAAAGAAAAACUGGAAAAUAUCUAAAAUACUUCUAAAAAAAAAAAGAAAACAUGAAUUGGUAUUAAAAAAAAAUAAAUUGUCGAUAGAAAAUCAAAUAAAUUUUUUGUGAACAUGUAAAAAACAAUUUGUGACUCCUUCCAAAUUUUCUCCACAGCUUAUUUAGAAAAAAAAUAAUUAAAUAAAAUUGAAAAAUAAAGAGUAAAAAUCCAUUCUCAAUCCGGAAGAAAACUUAUUUGCUGUGGAGAAGUUGAGUUUUUGUGAGAUGAAAUACAAAAAAAAAGAAUAAAAAACUAAUAGAGAGUCAAGUAACUAAUUUAGAAAUUUUAAUAAUGUAACUAUUAAUGAUACAAGUGAAUGAUGAAUACAUAACUAUUACACAUUAAAAUAAUAAAGAAAAAGAAGAAGAAAACAAGUGAAGAAAAGUGAAGCAACAACUACUAUAACUAUUAAGAAAGUUCUCUAGAUUAAAAUGAUCAAUGAAAGAAAAAAAAGCAACAAUUUAGUGUUAAAGUUAAAAGAAGAAGAAGAAGAAAAAAGAAGCAGAAGAAAAAAACCCUUAGAAUAUGUAGGAGUGUAUAAAAAUUUCCUUUGACGAUGAAGAUAAGAAAAUGAGAAAAUCACAAAAAAAAAUGCAGAUAAGUUUAACAAUUUAAGUGUAAGUCAUCGCCAUGUAAAUAAAUUCGUCAUUAAAGAAUGAAAGCAAAGUAAAGUGAAGAAACAAACAAUUCUUUUUUUUUAUUCCUCCAACUUACCCAGAUUUUCACUCGAAUCAAUCAAUUUCUCCGUUUCCGCUUCAACGUUUUCAAGGGGUUGUUCUAUUUCUGGCUUUAUCGCGAAAAAAUAAUAAAAGUAUUUCCUGAAAUUCAACUAUUUCAAGUUCAAGUUAUCGAAUGAGACGCCAACGUGAAUGAGCUCAUAAGGCACAAUUAAACGCAGUUUCAACUCGUUUCCUUCGAGAGUCUUUCAUAAAAGUUAUUUUUCUACAAAUUGUUUUAUCGCUAUUGACUUUCUUCGUUUAUUCUCAGACGUUCUUUCUCCCCAUCGACCAGGAAUUGUGGACAAAACAAUCACUUUCAGCAGUUUAUAGCCUUCACUUGUCUGGUUAAAACCAUGCACAGGGAAUUCAUCGCAAUAAAAAGCUUUCUGUUCCGCUAAUUGAGCCAAAGGAAGAAUCCAGAAGAAGCAAGAGACAUGGGGAAGAAGAGGAAGAAACCAUUUACUGCUCAACGUCGGAAAAUCGCCAUCCAAUGGGAGAGAAUUGAUAAGACCAGGUUUUAAAUGAUAAAUCAAUUGAGUUUUACUCCAAAUAUGAGCGAGAGAGAAAGUGCCCAAGAAUAAAGUCAUCACAGAGAAACGUGUUCAGAUAUGGAGAGUCUUUUCGCUGGAGCCUUCGGUUUGGCUGUACGGAGGUGGCUGGACAUUGUCUGACCCACAGUCGCCACUGGACUCCAUUCCUGGAUACGGAGGAGGUGGCAGCGAUGUCGCUAUGUUCACCUGGGGCUGGGGGCAGAUUUUUGGCGGCUUCUGUCGUUGCUGAUGUUCGUAAUUGUGGCGUGUCUGGUAUUGUGGAGGACGAUCCUGCAGCAGUUCCUGUGUUCUCUGCUGCACGGGAGACGUUGAGGUGACACUGUGAAAGCUGAAACGUCUCUCAUCUGGGAAGUUUUCUCUGCAAUCGAAAUAAAAGAGCGCCAAGUUUCAGGCAGAUAAUCUCAAUUAAAGGCUAAGGAAAUUGGUGCUAAAUAGAAAUAUGAUAUCUUAUCUUGGAAAUUACAGCUAUAUAAUUAAAUAAUGUCUCACUAUGAAUGCCUCUUCUAAAACUUUUUAAACAAAUGCAAAUGAAAAUCUCUUAUUUUAAAAGACAUUUUGAAGUCUAACAGUUUUGUAGCCAAUUUCCUAGGUAUUUUGUUACUUUCUUUAAUUUUUAUAAAUUUUAACUAGUUGAAAAAUGUGUCUUAAGAUUUUGAGGUUUUAAAAAUUACUUUUUAAUUUUCAUUAAUGUUUUGUUUGGUUUAAAAAAAUGUCUUUAAAAAGUGAAUUUAUUGUUUGA